rnacentral:lncRNA from 1 species
CUAAAUCAUUUCACCACUCUGCUCCCUUCAUUGAAUGUCCCCCUGAGUACGUAAUGACUAAAUGACUGGAUUUUCUUCUUUUGAGGUUUGCAGGAAGCCUUUAAAGGACAGUACAAAAAGAAUAACCACUUGGCAUAAGGUCACCCAGGUCUUCAGAAUGGUCAGUGUAAAUACGACUGGGCUAGUGACAUGUGGCACAGAUAGAACAACAUUUGAGGACACUUUACUUAACAAGUAA